UUAGUGGCAGACGGGUGAGUAUGCAUAGGAAUCUACCUAGUAGUAUAGGAUAGCCACUAGAAGUGGUGGGUAAUACUGUAUAAUCCCUGCGGGGGAAAGAUUUAUCGCUACAUGAUGAGCCUAUGUUAGAUUAGCUAGUUGGUGGGGUAAUGGCCUACCAAGGCAGUGAUCUAUAGCUGGUCUGAGAGGAUGAUCAGCCACACUGGAACUGAGACACGGUCCAGACUCCUACGGGAGGCAGCAGUGGGAAUAUUGGACAAUGGGCGCAAGCCUGAUCCAGCUAUGCCGCGUGAGUGAGGAAGGCCUUAGGGUUGUAAAACUCUUUCAGUAGGGAAGAUAAUGAGGCUACCUAUAA
rnacentral:rRNA from 1 species